UGUAAGAAUUACAGAAACUUCAGACACUUUGAUCUUCUGAGAUAUACUAAGGACACACAGUGCAUUAACAUACAGACAUCUGUUCUCACAUCUCACUGAGAGAAAAUGCAGGAAACGCCUCUCUCACAUAUGCAACAGUUCCUACUCAUUCCAUUCCUUCCCUUCACAUAGCUCACUCAGAAUGGUCAAUAGUAGAAUAUAAUGGUAUAUAUUAAUGCAAGUGAUAUUUACAGUCAUGUUUGGUGUCAUUUGAAUUGUCUCAGUGCAACUGGUACAAUGGUGUCUGUCUUACAAAAGUAGAUUAAAAGAUAAUUCAUUUCCUAAGAAUUAAGAGAUAUUCUGUAUAUCUGUAAUGGGAGGGAGUGCCCCUUCCUAGGGUCCUCCAUGUAAAUUACCUUCUGUCCCCAUUGAGGUGUAAACUACCCUGGUCUGGGACCUGACCUAAUGCAAAUUCCAAUUGUUAGUUUCUGUCUUCAUCUCGGGGGAUGUUUGUGUGAGGUAUUUAAACGAUUGCAGCAAAAGGAUCAGGGCCUUCUGUAGCUGGAAUGAGCCCAUAGCAUGAAGUGUGUCCACACACUUCAUACUAUGUAUUUUUCUAAGAGUCAGGUAUGCAUCUUUUACUAUUAGAUUCAUCUUUGAGAAUUUGGUGUCUAGUAUUGAUUUGAUAUCUAUGAAUUGGCUAUGUAAUUGGCAUAAUCCUUACCUGACUGAUAAUAAAUUGUUACAUUUGAUUUACUCUGACUGACUCUGAAACUAUUUUCUCAAGGAGAUUAAGUGAAGGCUAUGUUUCCGCAAAUCUGCGUCCAGGGUUAAGUGCAUACUAAAACUCAGACUAGAUGGAGCAUGGGGCGCAUCAGGUGAGGUUUUAGAUUUCUGGCUAAACCGCUUGACUUUAGUUAAGUUGUACUCAGUUGCAUUAACUAUGGGGGGCUAGUAACAGUACUGGUCAUAACCGCUGGUUAUUGUCUCAGCUUUAAUUAAGUUGUACGAAGUUAUAUGACUGUCGGGGGGGGGGCUAGACAGAUAGUGCUAGCAGAACCGCUGAUUAUUGUUCUGAGCUUUAACUAAGUUGUACAUGGGUAGCUGAGGGGGACUAAAUGGAUUAGACAUAAACCUCUGACUACUGUUGAGACUGGCGAGUUUGUGAUCGUGGGGCACACGUAGAAGAACGCCCGUCGUGGGGCACCCUGAGCGACAUAGAUUACUAAUGAACGAGUAAAAUAAAGUAAAGAGUUAAAUUAGAAUAAUCAAAUCUCAGAAGAAUAACAAUAAUAAUUAGAGACCAACAAACAACCAAUUUGCCUUUCAACCUAAAUUCGAGGUCAUACUAAAAUGGAGUCAGAUUAGAUAAGAAAAUGGAGUCAGAUUAAAUAAUAAAAUGGAGUCAGAUUUGAGCUUAACCUAAACUGAAUAACUUUACGCGCUGAAAGACAGAACACGCAGGAAGCCUUCAUCCAGCACCGGAUACCUUCCUUGGGCCGAGUGCCUGGACCUUACAAAUUGGUGACCCCGCCGACGUGAUCUCCUUACAAAGUGGUGACUGGUAACGGGAUCUGCUAAAAAGGCGAGUGACGUCUUUCAGUGCAAUAUGGAUUUGUACCGAACAAGAGGUUUGACCAUCUCCUUCUCUUUCUCCAGCUGCUGUGGUUGACCACUGCAAUUCUUUGGAGGACAGAUACCAGGAAAGUGUCUGGUCCCAUCUGCACCAAGACAGGACAAAAGAAUUGUUACAUAACCUGAAAUGCGGGAGAUGAAUGUGAAGACACUUGAAGGGGCCGUUCACACCUCACAGUAGAACAUCACCACGCAAAUAUCUACAUGGCCUCCCGGAUUAGAACCGGAACUAAAUUUUUGCAACACAGAUUGCUAUAGAUUAGACUCCAUUCAUCUCCAAGACAUGACCAUAGAACACACACCUCAUCCAUUGCAUCACCUCAUUUAGACUAUCCAGUCUGUACACUACACACAGAAGACAAUGAUGGCUUAGAUUACAAAUGAGGUACUCCUCUAAAGAUCUAUUGUCCAUCUUCACACUGACAGAACCACAUAGCCUCACACACACAGGACAAUAUAAUUUAUCCCAUGCUAAAAUAGACACACAACAUAUAACUAUUUGCAACUGUCUGCAAACUCAUGGAACAACACUGUAACACACAUUUGCAUGAAUAGUCACAGAUUGAUGGCACAAAUUUUGAACACAGAGGCAGACAAGCCUUUACAAUUUAAAAUAUUGAAUCUUUAUGAUUGUUAUUGGGGUGGUUGAGAAGCCAGAGGGCCCCUGGUUUCCCAACACAUCACCAAUGACAAUAAGCAUUAUUAAAAUGAUUAAAUGUGAAGUGCCUGCACUUCAUUUCUGUCAGUCAAUUAUAAAAUUUACAAUUCUACCAAACAAUCAACUGUGACUUAGCCUUCAUAUCAGAUACCAUUCACACACACACACACACACACACACACACACACGUUAGGAAUUUAGGAUUUCCAUUGUAGGAAAAUGUUUUAAUCAUGUUCUAACCUUACAUCUUCUUAAGUGGCUUGCAAUAGAAGAUUCCUGAAUUAACAGUGUGAUUAUUAUAUAUAUACCUUCAUAAUUGUGAUUGAAUAUGAUUCUUAUUGUCAUUAUAUGACUUGUUUAUUGAUGCAUACCUCUAAAUUAAUGCUCAAGUUAAACUGACCUCUUGCUGCAUUUUCCUUUGAGUCAUUCAUACCAAAAUGUACAUUGGACCACUCUACCAUAUUUGACCUUGAAAGACUUUUAACAUCAGAUGUACCACUUGCACUGGCUGACAUGAAUUCAUCAGGUUUCUUUUUUGUUUUAUUUUUCUUAUGUUAACUUAUGACUUUUCUAUUUUACUCCAUGGGUGAUGAAAUUUUAAGCUGAUCAAAAUUCAGUCAUUGGAUGGCCACUAAGAUGCUUUUCAGGUGUCUCACACAAAGCAGUGUGUAACCAGUGAGAACCCUUCACCUGUUGGAGCCUGCCCAGAAAUCUGCACAGUUGGAAGUGACAAGAUUCAUCAAAAGAGGCAAGAAAGACAGAGGGAAGGUGUCACUAAAGAUGGAAAGACACGUCAAGCUAAAAAGGCCUGGACUGAUUCAAUGAACUAUGCACAUGGGUUGUUCCCAACCAGACAGGUGAAUCUCUUAAACCUGUUCAUCCACCUGCUGAAUUCAAGCUACAUGCACCUGUUGAGAAUGGUGUACACAAAGGCCUUUCUCAAGGCCUCUACAACAACAAAUACUACAUCACAAGGACUACAAGAGCCUGACAAGUGACCCCUAUGAGAAUCAUCUGUAUUCGUGUCAUGUGGUCAAAGGGCGGACUGUAAGAAUUACAGAAACUUCAGACACUUUGAUCUUCUGAGAUAUACUAAGGACACACAGUGCAUUAACAUACAGACAUCUGUUCUCACAUCUCACUGAGAGAAAAUGCAGGAAACGCCUCUCUCACAUAUGCAACAGUUCCUACUCAUUCCAUUCCUUCCCUUCACAUAGCUCACUCAGAAUGGUCAAUAGUAGAAUAUAAUGGUAUAUAUUAAUGCAAGUGAUAUUUACAGUCAUGUUUGGUGUCAUUUGAAUUGUCUCAGUGCAACUGGUACAAUGGUGUCUGUCUUACAAAAGUAGAUUAAAAGAUAAUUCAUUUCCUAAGAAUUAAGAGAUAUUCUGUAUAUCUGUAAUGGGAGGGAGUGCCCCUUCCUAGGGUCCUCCAUGUAAAUUACCUUCUGUCCCCAUUGAGGUGUAAACUACCCUGGUCUGGGACCUGACCUAAUGCAAAUUCCAAUUGUUAGUUUCUGUCUUCAUCUCGGGGGAUGUUUGUGUGAGGUAUUUAAACGAUUGCAGCAAAAGGAUCAGGGCCUUCUGUAGCUGGAAUGAGCCCAUAGCAUGAAGUGUGUCCACACACUUCAUACUAUGUAUUUUUCUAAGAGUCAGGUAUGCAUCUUUUACUAUUAGAUUCAUCUUUGAGAAUUUGGUGUCUAGUAUUGAUUUGAUAUCUAUGAAUUGGCUAUGUAAUUGGCAUAAUCCUUACCUGACUGAUAAUAAAUUGUUACAUUUGAUUUAC